rnacentral:lncRNA from 1 species
UUCAGUAUACCAAAACGCAAAGCAGAGCAGGCAACAGAUGGCACACAGACAGCAGAGUUGGGGACAGAUAUGCAGGGACAGACUGGCAGAGACAGGGAGUCUCAGGUAAGUUUGUUGAGUCUUUGUUUGGCAACAUUAUGAAAGGUUCUCAAUUUUUUUGACUAGUAAAAUAGGAACACAAUUGGAAAAUGCCAUGGAUACCCCCACUCUCAACUUAAACUGGUGACUGAACUAAGAUUUGUUAAAGGCAAUGGUAUUGCUGUUGUGAUUAGUUGUGUAGUUUUGGGUACCGGUAGUUAGGAGUACGGCAAACACCUUAUUUCUUUGGUUCCUCAAUAUACAUUUACCAUAUUACAACGUAGGCUAUGUGUUACAGCAUUACUUUUGGUGUCCCCCUCAGGAAUUGCUCUUGAGAAAAUUUCAUGUAAUUGUCCCCUCCAAAGUUGAUAUCAGAUUUUCGCCCCUGGUUACAGGGGCUUUCAUACUGGGGAGGAGAAGGGGCGUUUCAUCCUUCUAACCAAUGUCUGUGCUCCCGUGGGUGGGUUUACUUGAUUGAGCAUAAGUUUACUUAUGAAACAAUUCUCUCAUUUAGAAGCUGAAAUCACAUCUUCUCACAAAUAGUUUCAUGUUUAAUUAAUCACAUACGUUUUGCAACGUUUUGAUGUAAAUAUGAUAACUAGAAUGUGUGGACUUUCAAAUAUACAAUUCUGUCAUCCUAUCAUCAAUAACAAUCUACCAAAACAAUGACUGAUCUGACCCUUCCAUUACAGAAAUAUUGUUUCAUUGUUCAACUUUCUGAUGUUACCAUGCUGUAUAGUCUUUCUCUGUGGAACAAAGGCUUUCCAAAAGUCAAUUCUGUAGAGUGGAGAGAGAGUUUUGGUAUUUAUGGUAGGUCAUAAACAGGUGGGGGGGGGAAGUCAGGGCAAAGUCAUGACACCACCUAGUGAUGGCUAUUUAACAGUCUGACGGCCUUGAGAGAGAAGCUGUUUUUCAGUCUCUCAAUCCCAGCUUUGAUGCAUCUGUACUGACCACGCCUUAUGGAUGAUAAUGGGGUGAACAGGCAGUGGUUCGGGCACUUGUCCUUGAUGAUCUUUUUGGCCUUCCUGUGAUAUCGGGUGCUGUAUGUGUCCUGGAGGGUAGAUAGUUUGCCCCCGGUGAAGCAUUGGGCAGACUGCAAAACCCUCUGGAGAGCCCUGCAGUUACGGGCGGUACAGUUGCCGUACCAGGCGGUGAUACAGCCCGACAGGAUGCCCUCAAUUGUGCAUCUGUAAACGUUUGUGAGGGUUUUAGGUGCCAAGCCAAAUUUCUUCAGCCUCCUGAGGUUGAGAGGAGCUGUUGCGCCUUCUUUACCACACUGUCUGUGUGGGUGGACCAUUUCAGAUCAUCAGUGAUGUGUACACUGAGGAACUUGAAGCCUUCCACCUUCUCCACUGUGGUCCAGUCGAUGUGGAUAGGGGUAUGCUCUCUCUGCUGUUUCCACUGUCAGCUCCGAUGUUUUGUCGACAUUGAGUGAGAGGUUAUUUUUCUAGCACCACACUCCUGGGCCCCUCACCUCCUCCCUGUAGGAUGUCUCGUCAUUGUUGGUAAUCAGGCCUAAUUCUCUUGUGUCGUCUGCAAACUUGUUGAUUGAGUUGGAGGAGUGCGUGGCCACGCAGUCAUG